rnacentral:tRNA from 1 species
AUUCAGGUAGUUUAAAAAAAAUAUUGAUUUGUGGUAUCAAAGAAAUUUAUUAUUAUAAUUCUGAAUU